AUGCUACUACGUACUACAAAACUGCGUACCACUCAAAUCUUGUUUUACUUGGGGGAUGAUUGGUACCGACGAGAGAUGGAACGGUCCUUAGAUUCCAGUUCAGUGUUGUGGUGUUACUUGUUAGGUGCAUUGCUAUUUCACCCGCAAAAAAAGGUGCAUUGCUAUUUAUGUGUUGCAUAUAAAAGUUAUAUUGUUUUCUGUAAUUUGAAUUUGUCAUACUUAGCAGGAAGAAAUUUGUGUUUUCAUAAUAAUCCAAUAAAUCUAUGUACAUAUUUAUUCUGCAGCGGAGAAGAUGUGGCUAUACAAUACACUAUACUAUACAAGAUGCUACUGCUAAGCUGCAUAUAUUGUUAUUCUGCAAUUGGUCAUCAGGUUGAACCUUGCAAGUUUGCUGCUAGUUACCUCCUGAUGUUUUUACGGUCCAAAUGGAAGAGGAGUGACACAUAUCUUGUGGGUAUCGGUGGAACAGAGGCGAGCAAGAUCUCUGAUCGAAAGUACAAGUGGCAACAACUGACCCAAAUAAUUGUAAAUUGUUUGGAAAAGAUCAUGGAACGGAUGAUCAAUCUGAUGAGAAGACCUGCAAUCGUGAAUACAGAGUACUUGCUUUCUUUACUAGCUAGAGUAUUUAAGUACCCGCAACCUGUAUUGGUGGUACACCAUCGUGCAAACCUAAAGCUAUAUUGUAUUGCUAAUUGGGGUGUAAAUUAUUUGCUGUACAUCAUCGUUAGUGUGUUGUGA
rnacentral:rRNA from 1 species